AACGAACGCUGGCGGCAUGCCUAACACAUGCAAGUCGAACGAGACCUUCGGGUCUAGUGGCGCACGGGUGCGUAACGCGUGGGAACCUGCCCUUAGGUUCGGAAUACCUCCCCGAAAGGGGUGCUAAUACCGGAUAAUGUCUUCGGACCAAAGAUUUAUCGCCUUUGGAUGGGCCCGCGUUGGAUUAGCUAGUUGGUAGGGUAAAAGCAUACCAAGGCGACGAUCCAUAGCUGGUCUGAGAGGAUGAUCAGCCACGAUUGGACUGAGACACGGCCCAGAAUCCUACGGGAGGGAGGAGUGGGGAAUAUUGGACAAGGGGGGAAGGCCUGAUCCAGCAAUGCCGGGUGAGUGAUGAAGGCCGUAGGGUUGUAAAGUCCUUUUACCCGGGAUGAUAAUGACAGUACCGGGAGAAUAAGCUCCGGCUAACUCCGUG
rnacentral:rRNA from 1 species